rnacentral:lncRNA from 1 species
GGGGGACAGCCGGGCAAGGAGCUGACGGAUCGGCAACGUGACUCAAGGUCACGUGCGACGCGACGCGACGCGAGCCCAGGCCUUGUUUAGGCCUGGUUUAGUUCGUGAAAUUUUUGGAUUUCGCUACAGUAACACUUUCGUUUGUUUGUGGCAAAUAUUGUCUAAUCGUAGACUAACUAGGGUCAAAAGAUUCGUCUCGCGAUUUUCAGCAAAACUGUGU